rnacentral:lncRNA from 7 species
AAAGACUCAGUAGCAGCACAGGCCUCGUUACAACCUUUCCAACACCUAGCUUAAUAGAAAACAGUAUAAAACAGUAGAAACAGCAAAAUAGUAUAAAAACAGUAGAAAACAGGGUAGCCUCUUCUGCUGCCUUUCAUUCAUGUAAUUCUGCAAACAUACUGCAGAAGAGUGUAAGCAGCAAAAUGCUGGUGUGGGUUCUUCUGUUUGUUUGUUUGGUUUUAGUUGAUGCUGUUUUUUUCUCCAAGUUUUAUCCACAGUUCAAACCUCUCCCUAGUCAGCAGGACCUGUGACAAGAAAAUGAAAUACAAAGAAUUUCACCUGUGUGCUGGAUUCAAGCAGAAAGCUGAGGCACGUCUCUGGGAAGAAAAACCAUUCAAAAUUCAGAAACUACAGACAACACAGCAGUGACUGGGAGAAAAUGAGAAAGCUGAUCUGAAAAUCUGAGCAAAACUUAUCACUUCAUUUUUCUGUUUCAGAUCUUGGAAUUGUCUCCUUGCUGUAGGAAUCAAGUCAUUUGUUAAGUCUAUGAUGAGGAGCGAAGAACUUAGAAAUCUGCUUCAAAUGUGGAAUUUCAUGGCUAUGUUCACCUAAACUUGCGUCUCUGCCCUGACAGAGUCUCUCUCAUGGUUCAGUCCAGCACAGCUUGUCUCCACCAGCUACUGAAAUGCUGCUGCUCUGAGCAUGGAUAUAAGCUCCUGUUGGAGCAUAGUUGCUGGAGCAAACUGGUAAGAGGUGCUGGGUCUCAGUCUAGUGAUGGAGAAGCAGCAAUCCGGAGUCUGCACAGACUCAAGGAGUACUUAUACUUCAUAACACUAGAUAUGAAACAAAGAUGCCAGGCAAGCAUGUUAGUCUCCAGCUAGCUCCACCCACCCUCAUAGCAGCACAAAGCUCAAGAUCACCGUAUGGAAAAACCUUCUUCUGUCUCUUAUUAUAUAGCAGCUGAAGUUAGGUUAUCUGAACAGCAAGAUGAUUAUGUUUCCCUACUUGUUUAUUCACUGAAGUCAUAGGCAAUCCCAUCCUACAGAAGUCCAACAUCAGAAGCCUGGUUUCUGGAAACUGAUCAUGAGCAGAAUCAAGGCAGAUACCUGUCUGUCUGCCCAGAUGUACAACGAUGUUCUUGUCACCAGAAGUGAGAACGGAGAAAACUGCAAGCUCUGAUGUCUAAAGAGGAUUUUGCCAUGCAUAUGAAUAAUACUUAUAUUUCCACAGACAUGGCGAAGAAAUAUGAGAUUAUUUUCUAGUCAAUUGUCCAUGGAGACAAGUAAGUGUAAGAGAAAGCAGAGCUUUAUCUUU